UGUGAUACUCUGAUCACCGUAGGGAGC
rnacentral:piRNA from 1 species